GACGAACGCUGGCGGCGUGCUUAACACAUGCAAGUCGAACGGAAAGGCCUUUUCGGAGGUACUCGAGUGGCGAACGGGUGAGUAACACGUGGGUGAUCUGCCCUGCACUCUGGGAUAAGCCUGGGAAACUGGGUCUAAUACCGGAUAGGACCGCACUUUAGUGUGUGUGGUGGAAAGUUUUUUCGGUGUAGGAUGAGCCCGCGGCCUAUCAGCUUGUUGGUGGGGUAAUGGCCUACCAAGGCGGCGACGGGUAGCCGGACUGAGAGGUUGGUCGGCCACAUUGGGACUGAGAUACGGCCCAGACUCCUACGGGAGGCAGCAGUGGGGAAUAUUGCACAAUGGGAGCAAGCCUGAUGCAGCGACGCCGCGUGGGGGAUGACGGCCUUCGGGUUGUAAACUCCUUUCGCCAGGGACGAAGCGUUUUGUGACGGUACCUGGAGAAGAAGCACCGGCUAACUACGUG
rnacentral:rRNA from 1 species